UAGAGUUUGAUCCUGGCUCAGAACGAACGCUGGCGGCGUGGAUAAGACAUGCAAGUCGAACGAGAGAAUUGCUAGCUUGCUAAUAAUUCUCUAGUGGCGCACGGGUGAGUAACACGUGAGUAACCUGCCCCCGAGAGCGGGAUAGCCCUGGGAAACUGGGAUUAAUACCGCAUAGUAUCGAAAGAUUAAAGCAGCAAUGCGCUUGGGGAUGGGCUCGCGGCCUAUUAGUUAGUUGGUGAGGUAACGGCUCACCAAGGCGAUGACGGGUAGCCGGUCUGAGAGGAUGUCCGGCCACACUGGAACUGAGACACGGUCCAGACACCUACGGGUGGCAGCAGUCGAGAAUCAUUCACAAUGGGGGAAACCCUGAUGGUGCGACGCCGCGUGGGGGAAUGAAGGUCUUCGGAUUGUAAACCCCUGUCAUGUGGGAGCAAAUUAAAAAGAUAGUACCACAAGAGGAAGAGACGGCUAACUCUGUGCCAGCAGCCGCGGUAAUACAGAGGUCUCAAGCGUUGUUCGGAAUCACUGGGCGUAAAGCGUGCGUAGGCUGUUUCGUAAGUCGUGUGUGAAAGGCGCGGGCUCAACCCGCGGACGGCACAUGAUACUGCGAGACUAGAGUAAUGGAGGGGGAACCGGAAUUCUCGGUGUAGCAGUGAAAUGCGUAGAUAUCGAGAGGAACACUCGUGGCGAAGGCGGGUUCCUGGUCAUUAACUGACGCUGAGGCACGAAGGCCAGGGGAGCGAAAGGGAUUAGAUACCCCUGUAGUCCUGGCAGUAAACGGUGCACGCUUGGUGUGCGGGGAAUCGACCCCCUGCGUGCCGGAGCUAACGCGUUAAGCGUGCCGCCUGGGGAGUACGGUCGCAAGAUUAAAACUCAAAGAAAUUGACGGGGACCCGCACAAGCGGUGGAGUAUGUGGCUUAAUUCGAUGCAACGCGAAGAACCUUACCUGGGCUUGACAUGUAAUGAACAACAUGUGAAAGCAUGCGACUCUUCGGAGGCGUUACACAGGUGCUGCAUGGCCGUCGUCAGCUCGUGUCGUGAGAUGUUUGGUUAAGUCCAGCAACGAGCGCAACCCCUGUUGCCAGUUACCAGCACGUGAAGGUGGGGACUCUGGCGAGACUGCCCAGAUCAACUGGGAGGAAGGUGGGGACGACGUCAGGUCAGUAUGGCCCUUAUGCCCAGGGCUGCACACGUACUACAAUGCCCAGUACAGAGGGGGCCGAAGCCGCGAGGCGGAGGAAAUCCUAAAAACUGGGCCCAGUUCGGACUGUAGGCUGCAACCCGCCUACACGAAGCCGGAAUCGCUAGUAAUGGCGCAUCAGCUACGGCGCCGUGAAUACGUUCCCGGGUCUUGCACUCACCGCCCGUCA
rnacentral:rRNA from 1 species